AAUAAGAUGGCUGAGUGUUAAGCGGUGGAUUGUAGCCCCACAUACGGGGGUUCAAUUCCCCCUUUUAUUA
rnacentral:tRNA from 2 species